AUGUAUUUACAAAAUAAUGUCUCAAUUCAUCCUAUUUCAUCCGAUGGAGGAUGUGAUAGGAUUGCAAAGGAGAAACUUUUGACAGUUCAAAAUAAUAAUUCAUUCUUGACCAAAAAUCUAGUUUUUGGUUUAUUUCAUCUAUUCCAUGACCAGAAUAGGGGGGGGUACUUGUUACAUCGCAAUUUUCAAUCAGAAGAGAGAUUUCAAGAAAUGGCAAAUCUAUUUAAUCUAUCACUAACUAAGCCGGAUCUGAUCUAUUUACUCGAUCGCGGACAUUUCUGGAACACCUCUAACAGAGGAAGAAAUAGUGAAUUUGGAAAGAACUUCUUGUCAACCUCUUUCCCCUAUUAAUUUAUCUGAUUCAAAAAGGAAGAACUUGCAUCAGUAUCUUGAUUUCGAUUCAAACAUGGGUUUGGGUUUGCUUGACACUCUAUAUUCUGAAAAAUUUAUACCAUCCGCAAAGAGGAAAAAACCUCUAAAAAAAUUCCUUGGAAAAGGGCAGAUGUAUCCUCUAUCAGAACAAAAUUCUUUCUGGUUAAAGGAUAUCUUUGGAGUUGCUCGAGAACAAUUAGGAAAUUUUUUAGAAGAAAGGCGAGGUUGGCCUUCUGGCGGGGACAUCCCAAGGGGUGGUGGUUUCGCUGAUGGGGUCAAAUCCAUACGUUCGAAGAAGAACGGUUUUAAUCUCAUGGAUCUCAUAAGUGAUUUCAUUGCUGAUAAAGAAAGAGAAUUCUUGGUUCAGUUCUCUACCUUAACGACAGAAAAAAGGCUGGAUCAAAUUUUAUUGAACAAUCACUUAUUCAGAAAUCCCGUGUGGGGCUAGUUGUUUGGAUUUAUCAUCUCAUGGGAAACCCUUUUCGCUACGCUUAGCCCUAUCCCCUGCUAGGGGUAUUUUAGUGAUAGGUUCGAUAGGAACUGGACGAUCCUAUUUGCUCAAAUAUCUAGCGACAACCACCUAUGUUCCUUUCAUUACAGUAUUUGUAAACAAGUUCCUGGAGAACUUUCCUAA